UUUUCCCCCCUGAUUCUACAACAUAGCGGAGGAAAAGAACUAACAAGGAUUCCCCUAGUAACUGCGAGUGAAGCGGGAAAAGCUCAAAUUUAAAAUCUGGCGGUCUUUGGCCGUCCGAGUUGUAAUCUAGAGAAGUAAUGCCCGUGCUGGACCGUGUAUAAGUCUCCUGGGAUGGGGCGUCAUAGAGGGUGAGAAUCCCGUCUUUGACACGGACUACCAGUGCAUUGUGGUAUGCUCUCAAAGAGUCGAGUUGUUUGGGAAUGCAGCUCAAAAUGGGUGGUAAAUUCCAUCUAAAGCUAAAUAUUGGCGAGAGACCGAUAGCGAACAAGUACCGUGAGGGAAAGAUGAAAAGAACUUUGGAAAGAGAGUUAAACAGUACGUGAAAUUGCUGAAAGGGAAACGCUUGAAGUCAGUCGCGUUGGCCAGGGAUCAGCCUUGCUCUUGCAUGGUGUACUUUCUGGUUGACGGGUCAGCAUCAAUUUUGACCACUGGAAAAGGGCCUGGGGAAUGUGGCAGCUUCGGCUGUGUUAUAGCCCCUGGUCGCAUACAGUGGUUGGGAUUGAGGAACUCAGCACGCCGCAAGGCCGGGUUUCGACCACGUUCGUGCUUAGGAUGCUGGCAUAAUGGCUUUAAGCGACCCGUCUUGAAACACGGACCAAGGAGUCUAACAUGCCUGCGAGUAUUUGGGUGGAAAACCCGAGUGCGUAAUGAAAGUGAAAGUUGAGAUCCCUGUCGUGGGGAGCAUCGACGCCCGGACCAGAACUUUUGGGACGGAUCCGCGGUGGAGCAUGUAUGUUGGGACCCGAAAGAUGGUGAACUAUGCCUGAAUAGGGUGAAGCCAGAGGAAACUCUGGUGGAGGCUCGUAGCGAUUCUGACGUGCAAAUCGAUCGUCAAAUUUGGGUAUAGGGGCGAAAGACUAUCGACCAUCUAGUAGUGGUCUGCAGUUUUUCCCCCCCAAAAA
rnacentral:rRNA from 1 species